GACGGUAUAGCUCAAGUGGUAGAGCACCUGCUUAACAUACAUGAGGUCCUGGGUUCAAUUCCCAGUACCUCUU
rfam:Camelus ferus unplaced genomic scaffold scaffold1232, whole genome shotgun sequence.